rnacentral:tRNA from 1 species
GCCGAGGUGGCGGAACUGGCAGACGCGCUAGUUUGAGGGACUAGUGGUCGCAUAGACCGUGCGGGUUCGAGCCCCGCCUUCGGCACCA